rnacentral:rRNA from 1 species
UACGUAGGGUGCGAGCGUUAAUCGGAAUUACUGGGCGUAAAGCGUGCGCAGGCGGUUCGUUAUGUCCGAUGUGAAAGCCCCGAGCUCAACUUGGGAAUGGCAUUGGAAACUGGCGGGCUGGAGUGUGGCAGAGGGGGAUGGAAUUCCGCGUGUAGCAGUGAAAUGCGUAGAUAUGCGGAGGAACACCGAUGGCGAAGGCAAUCCCCUGGACCUGUACUGACGCUCAUGCACGAAAGCGUGGGGAGCAAACAGG